GCGGCGGACGGGUGAGUAACGCGUAGGAAUCUACCUGGUAGUGGGGGAUAACUUGGGGAAACUCAAGCUAAUACCGCAUACGCCCUAAGGGGGAAAGCAGGGGAUCUUCGGACCUUGCACUAUUGGAGGAGCCUGCGUUGGAUUAGCUAGUUGGUGGGGUAAAGGCUCACCAAGGCGACGAUCUAUAGCUGGUCUGAGAGGAUGAUCAGCCACACUGGGACUGAGACACGGCCCAGACUCC
rnacentral:rRNA from 1 species